UACGGGAGGGUGCAAGCGUUGUCCGGAUUUAUUGGGUUUAAAGGGUGCGUAGGCGGCUAUUUAAGUCAGUGGUGAAAUCCUGCAGCUUAACUGUAGAACAGCCAUUGAUACUGGAUAGCUUGAGUACAGACGAGGUAGGCGGAAUUUAUGGUGUAGCGGUGAAAUGCAUAGAUACCAUAAAGAACCCCUAUUGCGAAGGCAGCUUACUAGGCUGUAACUGACGCUGAGGCACGAAAGCGUGGGGAUCAAACAGG
rnacentral:rRNA from 1 species